UACGUAGGGGGCUAGCGUUGUCCGGAUUUACUGGGCGUAAAGAGCGUGUAGGCGGCCACGCAGGUCCGUUGUGAAAACCCGAGGCUCAACCUCGGGCCUGCAGCCGAUACGGGCAGACUAGAGUUCGGCAGGGGAGACUGGAAUUCCUGGUGUAGCGGUGAAAUGCGCAGAUAUCAGGAGGAACACCGGUGGCGAAGGCGGGUCUCUGGGCCGAUACUGACGCUGAGGAGCGAAAGCGUGGGGAGCGAACAGG
rnacentral:rRNA from 1 species